AGCAGCCGCGGUAAUUCCAGCUCCAAUAGCGUAUAUUAAAGUUGUUGCAGUUAAAAAGCUCGUAGUUGAAUUUCGGGAUCAAUACGUUGGUCGUGCUUUCGGGUACGUACUGGCGUCGUUGGUUUCUCUCUUCUGACGAACCAUGAUGUCAUUAGUUUGGUGUUAUGGGGAGUUAGGACUGUUACUUUGAAAAAAUUAGAGUGUUUAAAGCAGGCAUUAGCUUGAAUACAUUAGCAUGGAAUAAUGAAAUAGGACGUUUGAUCCUAUUUUGUUGGUUUCUAGGAUCGACGUAAUGAUUAAUAGGGAUAGUUGGGGGCAUUAGUAUUCAAUUGUCAGAGGUGAAAUUCUUGGAUUUAUUGAAGACUAACUACUGCGAAAGCAUUUGCCAAGGAUGUUUUUCAUUAAUCAAGAACGAAAGUUAGGGGAUCGAAGACGAUCAGAUACCGUCGUAGUCUUAACCAUAAACCUAUGCCGACUAGGGAUCGGAUGAUGUUAAUUUUUUAAUGACUCAUUCGGCGCC
rnacentral:rRNA from 1 species